UGCAAUCAAAAGAAGGAAAAUAUAAUUAGUUGUCAUUGAGAACUUAAAAUUAAAAUUGGCAAACUUAAUUUAAACGAGAAUGCUUGAGGCCGAACUGAUUUUCGUUUUGAUUCUGAUUUGAGGUCCUUGACCAACUACAGGUUGGCAAAGCAACACCAGAGCGAUUCACUCUCUCAGUGAGAGAACGAAAAACUUUCGAUGACAAAAUAUGGCGGGUGCUUGCAAGUGCGACUACCCUCCUCCUUCCCGAAAGGACUUUGCACUGCCUAAAGAGGAUGUUCAGGAAAACGCACCUUCUUCAGCACCUAGUAAUCAGGAUGAAUUGUUUAACCUUCUUGUGGAUACAAGAUACAAAUGGGAAGCACAGGAAGAAUCUGACUCCAGCUUAAAUUCAAAACAUUCACCGUUCCCAUCUUGUUCUUUGUCGGAACCCGAAUUGUCUUCCCAGGUAAGACUUUCGAGAACGAUCCCUACCUCGAAUGCAGGUUUGCAAUCAAGUUCAGAUUAUGAACUCAGUUUUAAAUAUCUCAAGACGGAUGUGAACAAGUGCAAAUACUAAUGUUAUGGAGAGCGCCCGUAUUUUCUAGAAAGCGUUGUGUUACAUAAUUGCUAAAAAUAGAACUGAGGAAGUUUCUGGAACGCUUAAUCAUGCUGACUCAUUAAGAACUCUUAAUGGAACUUUCCAGAACCCUUAGUCAGCAAAAAUUGCUAUGAUGCAAUAGUAAUGUAAUUAUACCAAAAACAGUUGUAUUACAGAUCCCUAGAAUGAUCUAGAACAUUUUGUAAAACAUAUAUAGCGGGUUGCGGUCGUUUAAAGUCAGACCUUUUUUAGUGAGUUAGUGCUGUCGUGAAGAGCCCAGAGGAGCUAGCGUUGUUACAGAGCCGGAUUUAGAGAAUCGUUGCAGUGGAAUUAUGUAAUGUCACUGGAAUCAUCAGCCGUGUGGAAGGCUACGUCGAGAAUAGUUUAGUGGACAUCGAUAAGCUACAAGGAUCUCUGAAGAAAACUGGUGGACCGCCAGAGAAUGAUGAGAAUAAUUGCAAACGAAAUGAAGUAUUUGCUACCGAUGACCAUCAUUACUGGGAUUCAGACUCCGGUGAAGACGACGACAGGAUCAGCAUAGAAGAAUUACUUAAAACACCUGGAUGGCAGCUGCUCGUCAAGAACGUGGAAAGACGAAGAAAGCAAAGAAAGUCAGGCAAUCAAUGAAAAAUCACGCCAUUUUCAAAAAGCCAGUAUUUUUUUUUAAUCUAUUUAUUGUUUGCUAUCGCUUAAGGUGGCGAAAAGUGCUCUCCUCUUUCGAUCUCUCGAGAAGUCAAUCAUUUCCUGCCUUUUAAAUGAUAUCUGGCAGGGAAGUUUACAUUUCAGGAAAAAACGAAAUGUUUAGAUUACUGACAACAUUCAUGGCGAAGUAGUCUGUAGCUUUCAAACGUAGCUUUUUAUUUGUAUUUCCUCCUGCUUUGCUUUCCAACAUGUAAAGACGUUUCAUCUUGAUGCAAUAUAGCCUAAAUUAUUUAUGAGACACCUAGACUUAAAUACGUAAAUUUAUUUAUUCACUUUGAACACAAAACAGCUUACGACAAAGUUCGUAAAAACGUGCACGUGCUAAAUACUAAAAAAAUAUGUUAUAGCAUAUUACAAAAAGUAUGAAAAUCGUAAUCUUUUACAAUUUAUGAUUUAUGACCCGUCUCUUCCAAUCCGAAAAUGUGCAGUAAGAAAUCCCCAACUACUACUACGUAUGAUUCAUCAUUAAUUAACCGUCCCUUCUAACCCGUUUUAUCUAUGAAAUAUAUAAUACUGAAGAGAUCCCCAACUACUAUAACCAUUAUAAUGGUCAAUUAAAUAUCGGUAGCUCCGGUUAUAAAACAUGCCUCUUAAAAAAGCAAUUCUAAGCUGUUUUAAAAGCCUUGAUGUUUUCACUUUUCCUAUACUGACUUCCCUAGGUAACUUAUUCCAUAGCUUACUGGCAAUGAAGGAGAAAGAUUUAUACAGCCACUCAGAACCGUUACCUGCUAUGAAAAUGAUGUUCAAGCUGGACACUUGUUACAAAUAAGCUAGUUUCACACGGUAACAGUCACCCCUUACACGUUUAAUAUGUCCUGAACAGAACUGAAUGUUCGGAAGCGGCGAACGCUUUUUGCUCUUUUCAACCCGCCCCGGCAAAUGUGUAAUCACAUUCACUGCACGUAAUUUUAGGAUGAUUCAUCGCGAUGUAUAUAAAGCUCUUAUACCACCAUCCCUUUAUUGGGUGUACACUCGUGUGUCAGUAGCCAGUUUGUUUCUUAGAAUAUUCCCUCCCUAUAAUAAACUUCGAGUCGUAUACUGUAAUUGAAAUUGAUUUAAUCUGGUUUAUGCCUAUUUACAGUACAACCUAACCUAGAUACCGAUGUCGACGAAUGUCUUGUCUCGCUAAAAGCACUGAUCAAGUUAAUGUAGAUCAAUUAGUUUCAAAUGUCAAUCGAUUAGAUCAAAGGUCCACUGUACAAACAAAACAUUACAUAAUGAAUCGCUAAAACACGUGUCAUUUCACGUGGGUCCGCGUGCAACAUGUGCGAAGAAUCUGACACUCCCUACCUAAAGACGGCUGACUAGGAUAUUAAUCGUACCCACCUCCACAAGUUCAGACACAUUCAUUGUACGUAGCUUUUGGACGAUUUAUCGCGAUGUAAAUAAAGCUCUUGUACUACAG